AUGAAACCCUGAAUAUAUGGAAUGAAACUCUGAGAAUAUGGAAUGAAAUCUGACGUCAUCACGGCGCUGCUGCUGUCUUGUGUUUUAGGUCAUUAUCCGUACAACUCUUGGUGCUGCUAGACGUGUGUGUCACUAUGAGCGAGUCAGCAUGAAAUCUAGUAUCAGUAAUCCUAAAUAAUGAGGAGAUAAUGAACACCCUGGUGAAUAUGUGUAGCAUAGGCCAAAAUAAUACUGGUAAACAUAUUCAACACCGUUCUACAGAUGAAGAGUUUAUUCACUUUUGCAUCAUGGAAGAGUAAUGCGGAACUGAACUAGUUCACUAAAGUUGGAAAAAUAUUGACAGAUUUAAACUUCCCGGAUCAAUAACUCAUAAACGAAAUGUAGUUAAAACACCAACGAGGGCUCUUUUCUAACCGUAGUGAGGUAGACAACCAGCUACAAGCUCAUUUUAAUCACUACGAGCCUUUAGUCCAUGGUCUGUAUGCGGGCCCGCUGUGAGACGAGUGGUCAGGGACCGUCUACGAAGUGCAACGCCGAAAAGAGUUGCUACAAAAAUAUUCAAUAACUCCACUAUUAUACAGUGUAGUGAUACCAAAAUCACUU